AUGAUUUGCAAAUAAAGGAAGUUCACAUUGGACAUGGAGACGCAUGCCCUAUGACCCCAGCCUGCCCUGGGGAAGCUGAGACAAGAGGAAUGUAAGUACAAGGCCAGCCUGGGCUACACAUGGGAGACCUUGCCUGAAAAAAGGCAACAAAAACCUCCUGAACCCAAAACGAAAAAGGACAACCAACCAGCCAAGCCAAAGAAGACGUGUAUUGCGAUGUUCGAGGAUACUUGUUGGUCUUGUUGACUGUUGGCGAGACCUUUGCGCUGUUCCAUCCAUGGUGGGGAAAGCAGAUGGGUAACCCAGCCGCCUGUGAAGAGGAGGAAAUGGCAACAUUUUGGCAGUAGCUCUGUAGGCUAGUAUAGGUCAACACAAGCCUGGAAGAGAGAAUCUCAGCUAAGGGCUUGGCCCCAUCAGAUUGGUCCGUGGCUCGUCCUAUGUGGGGUAUUUUCUUGGUUGCUGAUUGUUAGUGUUCUGUUUAAACUCCACCCCCACAGUUACCUGGCAACAGCCAGGUAGGCCUCACUCACUAUAAAAGGGGCUGCUUGCCCCCUCCACUCUUUCUUGCUCUUGCCUUCCUGCUCCCGCUCUGACCCCCUCCCCAUUCCUCUCAUCCUUACCCUCCAUGUGCUAAUGGCCAGCCUCUAUUUCUCUUCUCUACCCUUUCUCUCAGUCUUUCUCUGCCUCUACUGCCUUCUUAAUUCUCCUCCCCAUGCCCUGAAUAAACUCUAUUCUAUACUAUACCAAUGUGUGGCUGGUCCCUCAGGGGGAAGUGAUACCUCAGCAUGGGCACCCCUUUCCCCAACACCUCACCACACAUACACCAAACAUAUCCCCCCUCUCUUUAUUUUUUUAUAAACACAUCACUGAUUGAUAUAGAAAGUCCAGUCCACUGUGGGCGGUUCUAUCCCUAGGCAGGAGGGCCCGGGCUAUAGAGGAAAAGUGGGUGAGUGGCCAGUAAGCAGUGUUCCCCUAUGGCCUUUGCUUCAACUUCUGCUUCUAGGUUCCAACUUUCCCCGAGGUUGGACCGUGAUCUUGGAGUUGUAAGAUGAAAUCAGCCCUUCCCUCCCUAAUUUGCUUUUGGUUUUUGUUUCCGUUUCUGUUUUCCCCGUUUACAGCCACAAACAACCAAGCUAGAAUAAUAGCUAAUCCAGUUUAAUUUCUGAGGUCUGCACCUCUGACUGCGACAUCUGACGGGGCUUUGUCCCCCCAACACUGCCAUCCGGAGGCAUCAGACCUUCACGUGAGUUUGGAUGAGGAUGAACUGCACAGCAUCGAUCAGACGGAAUGUGGAAUUAGAGUGGAAAGCAAUAAUUCUGAGAAAAAGUGAGAACGCUUCGUGUGAGCAUGCAGCAGGUGAGGUACAGCGUGUGUGCAGAGCACUUGGCUGUGCUGAACUCACUGCUUAAGCCAGGCCUCGUGGAACUGUGGCUCCCGCAAGACCUGGAGGCCGAGGGAGCUGGGUUGGAAGCCAAACCCCACUUCACUCUCCUGCAUGAGCCCGCAGGAGGUUGAACUUACAGCUCAUAGUUUGUAGAACUGGAGACAGCCGUGGAUCAAGCCGACUUGUGUGGUUGUUGGGGGCGGGAACCAGGUGACAGCGAUGAAAAUUGAUGUUGCCCUUUCUUUUCUUCGUUGCUUCAUAAUUCCCAAUACCGUAAAAAGAAGAAAAAAAAAUUCUGC
ensembl:processed_transcript